GUGGGGAAUAUUGGACAAUGGGCGAAAGCCUGAUCCAGCCAUGCCGCGUGUGUGAAGAAGGUCUUCGGAUUGUAAAGCACUUUAAGUUGGGAGGAAGGGCAGUAAGCUAAUACCUUGCUGUUUUGACGUUACCGACAGAAUAAGCACCGGCUAACUCUGUGCCAGCAGCCGCGGUAAUACAGAGGGUGCAAGCGUUAAUCGGAAUUACUGGGCGUAAAGCGCGCGUAGGUGGUUUUGUAAGUUGGAGGUGAAAUCCCCGGGCUCAACCUGGGAACUGCCUCCAAAACUGCAUGACUAGAGUACGGUAGAGGGUAGUGGAAUUUCCUGUGUAGCGGUGAAAUGCGUAGAUAUAGGAAGGAACACCAGUGGCGAAGGCGACUACCUGGACUGAUACUGACACUGAGGUGCGAAAGCGUGGGGAGCAAACAGGAUUAGAAACCCGAGUAGUCC
rnacentral:rRNA from 1 species